rnacentral:lncRNA from 1 species
GCAUCCUUGUGUGGACUGCACACGCCCAGUGGUUUUGACUAGAGGACUGGAGCUGGAGCCCGACAUGGGUCAGGACUUUUCCUGGAGCACAUGAAGGGCUGCCACCUUGACAGAAGAGCUAGAGCAAGAGCCAGGUGUGGCCCAGUGCUAGGGUGGUCAUAGCAGGCUGGCUAGAAUGCCAGUUUCUUUUCCAUCUGCUGCCUCUGACCUGGGACUCAGAACAAGUCAUCCACAUUACUCCAGUGUUCCUCUGUGCUCAUUCCUUAGUGUCUGCAAGGUAAUUGCUGGAGGAGGAAAUGGGAACCCACACCAGUAUUCUUGCCUGGAAAGUUCCAUGGGCAGAGGAGCCUGGCAGGCUACAGUCCAUGGGGUCACAAAGAGUCGGACACGACUGAAAAUGCACACACACAAGAGUAUCCCCUCCUCCCUUUAUCAUGGCUGCUAUUUCUCUGUAAGUGCUGCACAUUCUUCUGUCACUGCCCACACCCUGCCAACACUCGACGAGUGUCCUGUGAAUGACUGAUGGUCACGUCCAUUGCAUGGUAUCUCCUGAUAUGAAGACUCAUUGGAAUGC